GUUAUUAAGGUGGUGCAGUAUUCUAGUCAGCUUGUCCUGCCUUGAAGACGGGAUUAAAAAAUCGUCAAAGGGCAUAUCGAUGAAGUUUCUUGUGCAGGCUUCGGACGCCCAGUCCGGGGUUUGUGCUGGGAGUUAAGGAGGUUGGGCGAUCCGCAAUGGCAUGCGGGCGUUGACCCAGUCUCCGCGGAGACAUAUUGCGGUGGCUUUUAAGCUACUGGAUAUGGAUGAACCUGCUAUGCGGUGCCGUUAUUGGCUGCUGUGUACAGCGUAGCCUGCCUUGAGUGGAUUUUGAGGGAUAAAGGAACAUUCGUUUUAAGCAUGGCCAUGCUUUAACGUAAUGACGGCCUUUUGAAAUCUUGUCUGCAAAAGAGGCUAGAGGCUGGGCGUGCUGCCGAGGAAAUCUCCUAGACUGUUUACGGCAUUUCGGGGAUUAUAGUGUGGUCUAAGUGGCUAUCGAGCGUUGCGUUCGGGCAACGGCGCAAUACGUCCUUUAAUGGGAAACCGCCCCUUCGGCGACGGGGGGCAGGACGCAAGGAAAUCUGGCUCGACCUAAGCCGCAAGGUUUACCCGAUUUGCUACCACCUUUUUAUUAUU
rnacentral:sRNA from 1 species